GAUGAACGCUGGCGGCGUGCUUAACACAUGCAAGUCGAACGAACCUUCGGGUUAGUGGCGGACGGGUGAGUAACGCGUGGGAAUCUGCCCUCAGGAGGGGGAUAACGGCCGGAAACGGCCGCUAAUACCCCAUAUGCCGAGAGGUGAAAUGAAUUUCGCCUGAGGAUGAGCCCGCGUCUGAUUAGCUAGUUGGUGUGGUAAUGGCGCACCAAGGCGACGAUCAGUAGCUGGUCUGAGAGGAUGAUCAGCCACACUGGGACUGAGACACGGCCCAGACUCCUACGGGAGGCAGCAGUGGGGAAUUUUCCGCAAUGGGCGAAAGCCUGACGGAGCAACGCCGCGUGAGGGAUGAAGGCCUCUGGGCUGUAAACCUCUUUUCUCAAGGAAGAAGACAUGACGGUACUUGAGGAAUAAGCCACGGCUAAUUCCGUGCCAGCCGCCGCGGUAAUAC
rnacentral:rRNA from 1 species